ACGAAGGGGGCUAGCGUUGCUCGGAAUCACUGGGCGUAAAGCGCACGUAGGCGGCUUUCUAAGUCAGGGGUGAAAUCCUGGAGCUCAACUCCAGAACUGCCUUUGAUACUGGAGAGCUUGAGUCCGGAAGAGGUGAGUGGAACUCCGAGUGUAGAGGUGAAAUGCGCAGAUAUCAGGAGGAACACCAAUGGCGAAGGCAGCACUCUGGGACUUGACUGACGCUGAGACGCGAAAGCGUGGGGAGCAAACAGGA
rnacentral:rRNA from 1 species